UGAAAGCUGCUCCACAUUGUUCACAGCUGUACGGCUUCUCUCCAGUGUGAAUGCGUUGGUGUCUUUUAAGGUUACUACCCCGAGAAAAAGUUUUCCCACAUUGCUCACACCAGAACGGCUUCUCUCCAGUGUGAAUGCGUUGGUGGACUUUAAGGGCACUACUCUGAGAAAAAGUUUUCCCACAUUGUUCACACCAGAACGGCUUCUCUCCAGUGUGAACACGUCGGUGGAUUUAAGGUCACAUCUCUGAGAAAAAGUUUUUCCACAUUGUUCACAGCUGUACGGUUU